rnacentral:rRNA from 1 species
CCUACGGGUGGCAGCAGUGGGGAAUAUUGCACAAUGGGGGAAACCCUGAUGCAGCGACGCCGCGUGAGUGAAGAAGUAUUUCGGUACGUAAAGCUCUAUCAGCAGGGAAGAAAAAAAGUCCUUUGGACUUUGGACGGUACCUGACUAAGAAGCCCCGGCUAACUACGUGCCAGCAGCCGCGGUAAUACGUAGGGGGCAAGCGUUAUCCGGAUUUACUUGGUGUAAAGGGGGAGUAGACGGCAGCGAAAGUCUGGAGGGAAAGCCCGGGGCCCAACCCCGGGACUGCUCUUGGAACUGUGUGGCUGGAGUGCAGGAGGGGCAGGUGGAAUUCCUGGUGUAGCGGUGAAAUGCGUAGAUAUCAGGAGGAACACCGGUGGCGAAGGCGGCCUGCUGGACUGCAACUGACGUUGAGGCCCGAAAGCGUGGGGAGCAAACAGGAUUAGAUACCCGUGUAGUC